GCGCUCGGAUCCCCGCGGGAGGGGCUCGGCCCGGCGCUGCCCCCGCAGGGCUCCCGAGUUCUGUCCCGUUCCUGCAGAACCGUCCCGAGCUGCCCCGAGUCACAGGCUGUGGCUGCGUGUGACUGGGAGCUCUGGCGUGUCCUGUGCCGCACCUGGUGGGAGGCUGCACGGGACGGAACGGCCAAGCCCUUUCUGUGGAUAAAGGCGAGGAAAGAAGGGAGCACGUUGGGAAAGGUCAGCGCCGCUCCUUUGGAAACACCUUCCAGUGCAGCACUUAUGCGUAACUUGAGCAACGUUUUCCUUUGUAGAGCCCCUUUGUCAUUAGCGUGCAAAACUAAAUUGAACUUCAAUUAUCCACACAGAAAUUUUCCAUUCCAAGUCUCUGUCUCUGAUUGACUUCAAGACACUGAAGUAAAGGGAAAGAAACUGAUCAGAAAAAACAAUUCUUCUCGUGGAAGGAAUGGGAUUGAAAAAAAAAACAAUUUUCAUGUGAGAAUUUUUAUUCUACUUAAAAACAUUAAGGAAUUCACAACCCAAAAACUACCCUGAGGAAUGGCCUCGGAAGGUGACAAACCCAAACCCUCGUGAGCUGGGCCGUACUGGCUUGUGGAGCUUGGGGCUGACUCCAAAGUGCUCCUGUUCCCCAGUCAGGGUGAUAUCUUGUCCUUGCUCAGCGUGUGGCUGGUGGCCUCACGUACUGCACGCUCAUCAGAUCCUCCUCUGCACAUGGAAGGAGUCAUUUCCUCCUGGGCUUUGCCAUGAACUCAUUCCUGUGUUAUCUGAAUUCCUCACCACAUAAUGAGAGUAUCAUCACAAUGCAUGAGCAGAAGAGGUAGAUAAGAUGUAGAUGUGGAUAAAGCCUGGCCACAGUAACUCACCUGGUACCUUCAGGCAUGGAGGGACGAGCUUCAUUUCUCAUGGAAUUUCUCAGCUGCUUUCCACUCAUCCAUCUUCUCUGCAAACCACCUCACUCAUUCCUCCCUGCAAUGAAUGAAGAAGUUUUAGCACCAGGAAUGGCUUCCAUCAGCCAGCCUGGUUCCCCAGAGCACUGCCCGGGCUGUGUGCUGAGCUCAGCCUGUGGAACAGCACCGUGGGCACCGUGAAUCACACAGUGCACGUGGCCUUAGGGAGCUCAGACAGAGCUCUUUGGGGCGGACCAAACCUGACAUCUCACAAGUUCUUCCCUUUGUAACCUGGAUGUAUUCAGGUAUAAUUUGCAUGUGUUGUGUGUGCGUGUAUAUGUUACAUCCAAAAAUCAUGCUGAUCCCAGCAGAGGAGGCAAGGAUGGCUCAGCACCUGGCAAACACAGCUGGAGAGCAGCAGCAGAGCCCCUGUGCUGGCUGUGCUGUGCCUGCUGCAGGGCUGUCACUCUGCAGGGCUUACACUGGGCAGCUGGCACUUCAAAAGGCAGGACAUCCCCACAAGGUGAUGUGAUGCGUGGCUGGGGGAGAUCACCUUCCAGCCAGGUACAGUGACAUUUGCAGUGUUUAUCUGAUCACAGAACCACAGACCUACAGAAUCACAGAACCACAGAAUAUCCUGAGCUGGAAGGGACCCACAAGGGUCAUGGAGUCCAUACCUUAGCCCUGCAGUGCCUGAGUAUCAUCCAAAUGCUUCUUGAACUCUGUCAGUGCUGUGACCACUGCCCUGGGGAGCCUGUUCGUUCCUUCUCCAACCACCUCUCUCUGUGUGUAAUCCUACAAACCACCUGGGCUUACUGUGCUCUCCAGACGGACUCAGACUGAAGAAGGAAUUGCUAUUCUGCCAUCAAACCUGCUGUACAAACUGCACUGCUUACCACGGGACCUGCCCGGGACGUUACAGCCCAGCAGAGACCUCCUGGCUCUGUGCCCCUGCAGGGACCACAGACUCUCGGGUUUUAGUGGGUGAGACAAAACAAUAGAAAGAAAAAAGGAGUCACUAGAGGAGUAUAUGGGCCAUACAAGAGGCAGUGCUCUAAUGGAGGGUACUUGAUCAAACACAGCUUUUGAAAGAAACGUUUUCAGACAAGAUUUGAAAGGAGAUGAAAAUUGCCAUUUGAGGAUGACCCUGUCUUACAACGCCACAAGGAUCACCUAAUAUCCUACACAUAUCCUAUAAUAGGGACGUGAUGGAUGUUUAAGCAAAACCCACUUCAGCUGUGCAGAUGUGGAAGAAUAACUGCAGUAGUGCUGGAGACCUGACAAUCCCUUCCUGCUCUGCUGCUUGUUUCCUUUCUGGCUGUGCAGCAAACAGCUCCUCCGUGCUCCAACCAUCCUCGGGAUUUCUGUGGCCCUCGACCGGCAGUGGGUUCAGCUUUCUGGCAAUAUUCAUCUCUGUGACUUUCCCGAGCUCAGAAAUGACUCUCAUUAAUUUCCUGACUUUAGGUCACAAAGUCCCUGUGAACCAGGGAUCCCCACCAGCGCUGGUGGCCGUGAGGGGACUGAGCUCUGUGUUCUGUACCCCGGAUCAAAAACUCCCAGUAUCCAUCUGCCCCAGUUGGGAUCCACGACUCAGCUUCCAGCACAUGGGAAUUUUGCACUUCCCCUACUCUGAAUAAACAACUUUUCACUUCA